rnacentral:rRNA from 1 species
CCAGACUCCUACGGGAGGCAGCAGUGAGGAAUAUUGGUCAAUGGCCGGAAGGCUGAACCAGCCAAGUCGCGUGAGGGAAUAAGGCCCUAUGGGUCGUAAACCUCUUUUGUCAGGGAGCAAAGGCGUCCACGUGUGGACGAGAGGAGAGUACCUGAAGAAAAAGCAUCGGCUAACUCCGUGCCAGCAGCCGCGGUAAUACGGGGGAUGCAAGCGUUAUCCGGAUUUAUUGGGUUUAAAGGGUGCGUAGGCUGUGAGGUAAGUCAGCGGUGAAAUGCCCCCGCUCAACGGGGUGAAGUGCCAUUGAUACUGCCUUGCUGGAAUGCGGAUGCCGUGGGAGGAAUGUGUGGUGUAGCGGUGAAAUGCAUAGAUAUCACGCAGAACUCCGAUUGCGAAGGCAGCAUACCGGCGCUCAACUGACGCUCAUGCACGAAAGCGUGGGUAUCGAACAGGAUUAGAUACCCUGGUA